rnacentral:tRNA from 1 species
GCGGGUGUAGCUCAGUUUGGUUAGAGCGCUUCCCUGUCACGGAAGAGGUCGCGGGUUCGAGUCCCGUCACUCGCG